rnacentral:lncRNA from 1 species
UGAGUGAUGCUCAUGAAUGUUUAUGUAUGAUUGAUAUGAGUGAUGCUCAUGAAUGUUUAUGUAUGAUUGAUAUGAGUAAUGCUCAUGUAUAAUAUGAAGUACUAGGCGUACUUUUGAUCACCUGGUUGGUCGUAUGAAUGGUUGGUUGCCAAAUUAGAGUACGGGUUGUACAUCUCAUCACCUGGUUGGUGGUAAUAGCGGCAGGUUGCCGAAUAAUUUUGGAGUACUGGGCGUACUUUUGGUCACCUGGUUGGUGGUAAUAACGGCGGGUUGCAGAAUAAUUGUGGAGUACUGGGCGUACUUUUGAUGACCUGGUUGGUGCUAUUUUGGGCUUAUGGGCCUUCGCCCUCUACACAACAUUCUAGCCCAUUUAUUUUGGGCUUUUAGCCCAUUAUUUUGGGCCUUUAUUUUUUUUUUUUAACCCUCUGAUGGGGUUUAUACAAAUGUCUCCGAAAGAUAAUAAAAAUAAAUUACAUCAUUUGGGUGGGGUAUUUAUUCCUUACUUUUGCAGUGUUUUUCUGCUACUUUCUGAAAUAUUCUCCUAACGCCAUGAUCUUUUUUUCUUUUUGAUUUGCUUUUCCUUUUCUGAUCAAGUACCUAACAGCUUGAAAUAUAUUGUAAUCAAGUGACCAGGGAGUAGGACUAGUGGAUCCCUCUCUUCUGUUUUUCUUUUCCUUUUGGCUUAUGGCAGACAACACAAAGGAGAAUAAUAAUAGGAAUUUUGUAAGAAAACUUAUCUUCUUCCUGUUUUCCAUCACACCUCUACCUCUGUCU